rnacentral:rRNA from 1 species
CGGAGGGUGCGAGCGUUGUCCGGAAUCAUUGGGCGUAAAGGGCGCGUAGGUGGCCCGGUCAGUCUUUGGUGAAAGCGCGGGGCUCAACCCUGCGUCGGCCAGGGAUACUGCCGCGGCUCGAGCACUGUAGAGGCAGGCGGAAUUCCGGGUGUAGCGGUGGAAUGCGUAGAGAUCCGGAAGAACACCGGUGGCGAAGGCGGCCUGCUGGGCAGUAUAGCUGACACUGAGGCGCGACAGCGUGGGGAGCAAACAGGAUUAGAUACCCUGGUAGUCCACGCCGUAAACGAUGGGCACUAGGCGCUUGGGGGAGCGACCCCCCGAGGGCCGGCGCUAACGCAUUAAGUGCCCCGCCUGGGGAGUACGGCCGCAAGGCUG